UCCCUGGUGGCCUAGUGGUUAAGGAUCAAGCAUCGUCACUGCUGUGGCAUGGGUUCUAUUCCUAGCCUGGGAA
rnacentral:tRNA from 1 species